rnacentral:rRNA from 1 species
GCGGCCUAUCAGCUUGUUGGGGAGGUAACGGCUCACCAAGGCUUCGACAGGUAGCUGGUCUGAGAGGAUGAUCAGCCACACUGGGACUGAGACACGGCCCAGACUCCUACGGGAGGCAGCAGUGGGGAAUCUUGCGCAAUGGGCGAAAGCCUGACGCAGCCACGCCGCGUGCGGGAUGAAGGCCCUAGGGUUGUAAACCGCUUUUAACAGGAACGAAAAUGACGGUACCUGUAGAAUAAGGUGCGGCCAACUACGUGCCAGCAGCCGCGGUGACACGUAGGCACCAAGCGUUGUCCGGAUUUAUUGGGCGUAAAGAGCUCGUAGGCGGUUCAGUAAGUCGGGUGUGAAAACUCUGAGCUUAACCCAGAGACGCCACUCGAUACUAUUGUGACUAGAGUUCGGUAGGGGAGACUGGAAUUCCU